rnacentral:rRNA from 1 species
UUCUAUCUUUAUUUUUUAUCAACCUAUCAGUACGAAAGGACAAUAUGGUAUUUUUAGAAAAAAAAAACUAUAAAACAAGUUUUGUGUAAGCUUAAUAAUAGAUAUUUUAUUAGGACCUCAUACAAAAAAAGUAGAGAGUGCAAUUAUAUAAAUUAACUAUAGUUAUAAAUAAUAUAAUAAAUCUAGUUAAUUAUGUGCCAGCACCUGCGGUAAUACAUAAGAGAUUAAGUCUAUUAUUAUCUAUAAUAACCUAACAAAUAAUAUUUUAAUAAAAAAAAUUAUAUUAAAGUAUAAUCUAAAAUAAUUAUUAUUUCUUUAAUUAAACGUUUUUAAACUUUUAAAAAAACCAGGAUUAGAUACCCUGUUAUAGAAGUUAAUACUUUUAUAGAAAAAUAUAAUUUAAAAAAGAAAUUUAUAUCUCAUGGCAGUUAGGAAUUCAGAUUAGAUGAGUAUGCUUUUUAAAUAGAUAAUCCCCAAAAAAUCAUACUUAGCUUAGACAAAGUCACUUUUUCCACCGCCGUUUUUAGGUUUAAUUAAUUAAACCUAAUAAUUAGUUUUUCUAAAAAAAUCAGGUAAAGGUGAAGGUAAUAGCUAAGGUGAAGUGUACUACAUUUCUUAUAAGAGUGGAUAGUUAUUUGAAAAAUAAUUUUAAAAUGAAUUUAAAAGUAAUAAAAUUUAAUAAUAUUAUUAUGAAUAUAGAUCUUCCUUUUGUACAAAUCGCCCGUCACCCCCGGGUCAUUCUCGGGGUAAGUCGAAACAUAGUAGAUGUACUGGAAAGUGU